AAGUCGUAACAAGGUUUCCGUAGGUGAACCUGCGGAAGGAUCAUUAACACGUAUCCUACGUAUCAACCCCUUCGUGCUUUUGUUUGUGCGAGUUGAAUUGAGGUUUCUCUUGUUUUUCUUUCUUUCGUGGUUUCAAGCUUUCGGGUUUGGGCUAUGAGAGAGAGGGGAUAGGGGGAGCUUUGAUUUAAUAGCUAUAACUAUUAACCCCUUUGUAAACAUUUCUUCUGAAAUAAUGUUUUUACUGAGCUGGAAACGGCUUCGUACGAACAAUAUUACGAAAUGCUUGACAACUCUUAACAACGGAUAUCUUGGUUCUC
rnacentral:misc_RNA from 1 species